CCUACGUGGGGCAGCAGUGGGGAAUAUUGCACAAUGGGGGAAACCCUGAUGCAGCGACGCCGCGUGAGUGAAGAAGGAUUUCGGUUUGUAAAGCCCUAUCAGCAGGGAAGAAAAUGACGGUACCUGAUUAAGAAGCACCGGCUAACUCCGUGCCAGCAGCCGCGGUAAUACGUAGGGGGCAAGCAUUAUCCGGAUUUACUGGGUGUAAAGUGAGCGUAGACGGCAGAACAAGUCGGGAGUGAAAUGCCAGGGCUUAACCCCGGAACUGCUUUUGAAACUGUGCAGCUAGAGUGCAGGAGAGGUAAGUGGAAUUCCUAGUGUAGCGGUGAAAUGCGUAGAUAUUAGGAGGAACACCAGUGGCGAAGGCGGCUUACUAGACUGUAACUGACGUUGAGGCGCGAAAGCGUGGGGAGCAAACAGGAGUAGAUACCCUAGUAGUC
rnacentral:rRNA from 1 species